rnacentral:rRNA from 1 species
GUGGUUCCAAGAAAAGCCUCUAAGCUUCAGUCUAACGAUGACCGUACCGCAAACCGACACAGGUGGGCGAGAUGAGUAUUCUAAGGCGCUUGAGAGAACUCGGGAGAAGGAACUCGGCAAAUUGGUACCGUAACUUCGGGAUAAGGUACGCCCUUGUAGCUUGACUGGCCUGCGCCAGGAGGGUGAAGGGGUUGCAAUAAACUGGUGGCUGCGACUGUUUAAUAAAAACACAGCACUCUGCAAACACGAAAGUGGACGUAUAGGGUGUGACGCCUGCCCGGUGCCGGAAGAUUAAAUGAUGGGGUGCAAGCUCUUGAUUGAAGUCCCGGUAAACGGCGGCCGUAACUAUAACGGUCCUAAGGUAGCGAAAUUCCUUGUCGGGUAAGUUCCGACCUGCACGAAUGGCGUAACGAUGGCCACACUGUCUCCUCCCGAGACUCAGCGAAGUUGAAGUGUUUGUGAUGAUGCAAUCUACCCGCGGCUAGACGGAAAGACCCCAUGAACCUUUACUGUAGCUUUGCAUUGGACUUUGAACCGAUCUGUGUAGGAUAGGUGGGAGGCUAUGAAACCGGAACGCUAGUUUCGGUGGAGCCGUCCUUGAAAUACCACCCUGGUUUGUUUGAGGUUCUAACCUUGGCCCGUGAUCCGGGUCGGGGACAGUGCAUGGUAGGCAGUUUGACUGGGGCGGUCUCCUCCCAAAGCGUAACGGAGGAGUACGAAGGUACGCUAGGUACGGUCGGAAAUCGUGCUGAUAGUGCAAUGGCAUAAGCGUGCUUAACUGCGAGACCGACAAGUCGAGCAGGUGCGAAAGCAGGUCAUAGUGAUCCGGUGGUUCUGUAUGGAAGGGCCAUCGCUCAACGGAUAAAAGGUACUCUGGGGAUAACAGGCUGAUACCGCCCAAGAGUUCAUAUCGACGGCGGUGUUUGGCACCUCGAUGUCGGCUCAUCUCAUCCUGGGGCUGUAGCCGGUCCCAAGGGUAUGGCUGUUCGCCAUUUAAAGAGGUACGUGAGCUGGGUUUAAAACGUCGUGAGACAGUUUGGUCCCUAUCUGCCGUGGGCGUUGGAUAUUUGAAGGGGGCUGCUCCUAGUACGAGAGGACCGGAGUGGACGAACCUCUGGUGUACCGGUUGUCACGCCAGUGGCAUCGCCGGGUAGCUAUGUUCGGAAGAGAUAACCGCUGAAAGCAUCUAAGCGGGAAACUCGCCUUAAGAUGAGAUAUCCCCGGGGACUAGAUCCCCUUGAAGGGUCGUUCGAGACCAGGACGUUGAUAGGUCGGGUGUGUAAGCGCAGUAAUGCGUUCAGCUAACCGAUACUAAUUGCCCGUAAGGCUUGAUCC